UACGUAGGGGGCAAGCGUUGUCCGGAAUCAUUGGGCGUAAAGCGCGCGCAGGCGGUUCUUUAAGUCUGAUGUUAAAUCUUGCGGCUCAACCGCAAGCGGUCAUUGGAAACUGGGGGACUUGAGUACAGAAGGGGAAAGCGGAAUUCCACGUGGAGCGGUGAAAUGCGUAGAUAUGUGGAGGAACACCAGUGGCGAAGGCGGCUCUCUGGUCUGUAACUGACGCUGAGGCGCGAAAGCUUGGGGAGCAAACAGG
rnacentral:misc_RNA from 1 species